CCUCCAACUACUGGUUGCAAUGGAUUCAUCUAUGUCGAUCACUUCAAGAUUUCCCAAAACCCUAACUUUUGUUCGAUUCACCACCAGUUAAUCACUCUUUGAAUGAAAAUGUUGCAGAUAAGGUGUUCGACUUAAAAAUUGAUGGUUGAACAAUGUUGGUGUUCAAUAAGCUGAUUAAAAGCAAAUUUUUGCCUGAUGUGAAGAAUUGCAAUAGGAUUUUGAAGAUGUUCAGGGGUAUGAAAGAGAUCUGGGUUUUGUAAAGGGUUUCUGUUUGUGUAUGUUUCAAGAUUAGGGUUUUGUUUUUCUAGGGUUAAGAUAAAAAGAUCUGAAGUGGUUCCUGUAGCUAAAUGAGGUUCUUGGUGUGAUUCUUGUAUAAAUUUGGUGGUGGGUUUGGUAGGAAAAAAAGAAGAGAACAAGACUGUUGUUAGAUGAAGUUGUUUGUAGUUAAUUUUUAGGGGGUUUGGGGUUAGGAAUAUCAAGAUCAAAUGAAGUAGAAAUCAUUUUUGUUUUGUAGUACCACCGGUUUCGGUUGAAAAUCUAGUGGAAUAGUGGGGUUUCUUUUGUUGAAAAGGAAGCAAGAAUCAUUAAUCUUGAAACGAACAGUGGUCCUUUACAUAGGGUGGUGCAGUGGUGCAUAGUUUAAGGAUUUGGGUGGUUAAUUGUUGAGAUUCUUGAUUGUUUUUAGAAGUUUUGUUGUUUGAAGCUGUGGAAAUGAAGCUCUCUGCAAUCGGUUUCGGUCAGCAGUUGCCCGAAUUUGGUAUUUGAUCAUAUUGCAAAACUGAUCAUAUUGGUUUUUGAGUAUAUAAGUUUAUUUGGAGGUUAUUAGCCAACUUGCUACUUUGGAACCACUGAGUUAUGAAGAGCAAAAAGAAGCAUUUCUUCCAGCGGAUUUGGGUGCUCCGAGCAAACAACCCACGAACUAUUUUUGUAAAACGUUGACUGCAAGUGACACUAGCACUCACGGUGGAUUUUCGGUUCCUCGCCGCGCAGUUGAGAAAGUGUUACCUCAACUUGUGACAAUUAUUAUGUUAUUUAUGGGUUUGAUGAUCAGUUUUAAAUAGGGUUGUAAACGAGCCGAGCUUAAAGUAGCUUUUUGAAAACUUAUUCUAGUGAUUUACAUGUAAAACUCUUUUAAGUUAAAUAAAAUCAGUUUAUUUAUU
rnacentral:lncRNA from 1 species